rnacentral:misc_RNA from 1 species
GGAAGGAUCAUUAACGUAUGUAUAUGUAAGUAAGAGUGAGGUAGUGGGGGCUGUCUAAGCCUCUAUGAAAGAAUAUAAACAUUGAGUAGAAUAAUUUAUAAAUGAGGAUAACUUUUAACAAUGGAUCUCUAGGCUCUCGCAACGAUGAAGAACGUAGUGAAGUGCGAUAACUGGUGUGAAUUGCAUUACUUUGUGAAUCAUUGAGUCUUUGAACGCAAAUUGCACUGUAAGUAAAAUUACAGUAUACCUGUUUGAGUAUUGUGUAAUCACCCAUUCAAUUGGACAUGAGCUAUGUAUGGUAAGUACUUGCUUUAAAUGUAGUAUGUUGGUAGUGCGGAGGUAUACCCCUUUGUAACAUGAGUUUUGUGCGUAAAAGUAUACAUAUCUUGUUUAUAAGUGGUGGUACGCCGUGCGAAGGCAUGAUGGUUUACAACAUUUUAUUCAUUCAAUCUCAAAUCAGGUAAGAGUACCCACUGAACUUAAGCAUAUCAGUAAGUGGAGGAAAAGAAACUAACUAGGAUUCCCUUAGUAACGGCGAGUGAAGCGGGAAGAGCUCGAAUUUGUAAUCCCCCUAUGUAGUAGGGUGAAUUGUAAUUGAUAGAAGCACUCUCGGGGCGCUGACCAUUGCACAAGUCCUUUGGAAUAAGGCAUCAUAGAGGGUGAGAAUCCCGUGCUUGGCAUUGCGUUGGUCCCCACAUGAGGUGUAUUCAACGAGUCGGGUUGUUUGGGACUGCAGCCCUAAAUGGGUGGUAUACUCCAUCUAAAGCUAAAUAAUGGCGAGAGACCGAUAGCGAACAAGUACCGUGAGGGAAAGAUGAAAAGAACUUUGAAAAGAGAGUUAAAAGUAUGUGAAAUUGUUAAAAGGGAAGCGAUAGACAUCAGUGCAAUGCCAGUCGACCCGUGGUGGAUGCGUGCGUUUGCUGAGCGGUUAAAGGCCAGCGGCGUGCGAGUCCCCUAGUGUCGGCGGCAUGGUCAGCAUCAGUUUGUGGUGCGGGAUAGCAGGUGGGGAAGGUGCAUGCUGGCAACGGCAUGUUUAUAGCCCCACUGAGAGCCGUGCCGUGGACUGAGGAAAGCAGUGGGCCCUUGGGGCGUGCCUCCCGAAUGAGAGGGUGUGGUGCAGCGACUGCAGCAAUGCAUACGAUGUGCCGCGCCGCUUCUUUGGUGGCAGGCCACCAGCCUACUAAGGAUGCUGACGAAAUGGUGCCUACCGACCCGUCUUGAAACACGGACCAAGGAGUCUAACAUGCGUGCGAGUAAAUGGGUGUCAAACCCACUUGCGUAAUGAAAGUGAAGGGUGGGACCGCUGCUGAAAGGCGGCGUGCACCACCUACCGAUCAGGAUAUUUAUUGAUAGAUUUGAGUAAGAGCAUGUAUGCUGGGACCCGAAAGAUGGUGAACUAUGCCUGAGUAGGAUGAAGCCAGAGGAAACUCUGGUGGAGGUCCGUAGCGGUUCUGACGUGCAAAUCGAUCGUCAAACUUGGGUAUAGGGGCGAAAGACUAAUCGAACCAUCUAGUAGCUGGUUCCCUC